rnacentral:tRNA from 1 species
AGUGAUCUAGGUUAUUAGGUACUGUUUGUUUUCAAAACAAAAGGAGGGCUUUGAGUUCGGUUACUG